UCCGCCAUUCUGCCCUUCCGACCCUGUCUCCGAACUGGCUCCCGGCCUAACUAUCAUCCUCGGCGGUCAUUUCUGUCGGCCCAUCUCGACUCCUUCCGUCUUCUGUCCGCAGCGCUGCUUCCGUGGUGAUCAAGAGGAGCGUGGUUACCUCAUUUCAGAGCUACUUUGUUGGUUGAGAGGCCUCUCGGUUGUACUCAAGCAUCUCUUCGGAGCUUCUAUCUCUCCGAGGCCUUCAAUCCAUUGCGGCUAAUUCCGGGAGGCAAAUGGUUGAACCGCGCCAGUUCUACAUCUAACUCAGAUUCCCCUGCUGCGAGAGAAGCUGUCUUGGUAGGAGAUCUGGUCAAAGAUCAAGAGUGAAUGCAAUUUGGAGCGUGGAAGGUUAUAUUCAUUGGAGGAGCAAAUUGAACAUAAGUUGGAUUUCAUCAAGCAGGAACUUAACAACAUUGAAGUCCCUAUAGUACUGGUG